rnacentral:rRNA from 1 species
UAGGGAAUCUUCCGCAAUGGGCGAAAGCCNGACGGAGCAACGCCGCGUGAGUGAUGAAGGUCUUCGGAUCGUAAAACUCUGUUAUUAGGGAAGAACAUAUGUGUAAGUAACCGUGCACAUCUUGACGGUACGUAAUCAGAAAGCCACGGCCAAAUACGUACCAGCAGCCGCGGUAAUACGUAGGUGGCAAGCGUUUUCCGGAAUUAUUGGGCCUAAAGCGCGCGUCGGCGGUUUUUUAAGUCUGAUGUGAAAGCCCCCGGUUCAACCGUGGAGGGUCAUUGGAAACUGGAAAACUCGAGUGCAGAAGAGGAAAGUGGAAUUCCAUGUGUAGCGGUGAAAUGCGCAGAGAUAUGGAGGAACACCAGUGGCGAAGGCGACUUUGUGGUCUGUAACUGACGCUGAUGUGCGAAAGCGUGGGGAUCAAACAGGAUUAGAUACCCUGGUCGUUCUCGCCGUAAACGAUGAGUGCUAAGUGUUAGGGGGUUUCCGCCCCCUAUUGCUGCAGCUAACGCAUUAAGCACUCCGCCUGGGGAGUACGACCGCAAGGUUG